AUGUACAGAAUUUCAUGUGAGAUUUAUCAGUGUAGACGGGUUAGACAUCCUACCUACGUAGAUGAACCUCCUGGGAGAGAUUUGUCUCUUUUCAUCACUGUGUGGAACUACUCUGUGGUUUUGUUUCCCUCGCAGAAGCUGCCCCCAAAGCGGCCAGAACUUCCCCCAGCUCUAAUGAGAAUGAAGGAUGGGCCUGAAGUGGAAGAGGAGGAAGAGGAGGAGGAGGAUGAAGAGAAAGAAAAGGAGGAGCAUGAAAGGAGAAUGGAGGAUGGGAGCAGUGGGCGGCUGCCGGAGCUAGAGACAGAGGCAGCAGGACAGGAAAUGAGUGUUCCCGCAGCUCUCACGGGCUCUAAGGAAGCAAAAGGCGGUGAAAACACGCCUCAACUCAGCCAAGUAGAUCAGAAUAAAGGUUAUCAAGAGCCUAGUAAGACAGCUUCAUCACCAGAGGAGGCCUCAGCAUCAAAGAAUGAAUAUGAGAGCAGCACUGAAGAAUUGAAGAAAAAGAAAGCUCCUGGUCCAGGCAGAUUUCUACCCACACUUUCUUCGAAAUAUCCUGAAGAUGACCCAGACUACUGUGUGUGGGUUCCACCUGAAGGUCAAAGUGGAGAUGGCAGAACCCAUCUGAAUGACAAGUAUGGCUAUUGAUUUCCGCAGACUCCCAAAGGAAGACCUUGUGGACCAUGUACAUAGGACAUUUUGAAUGCUAUGUCAAGUUGAGACCAGAGAAGUUCAGAUGACCAUUUGUAAAGUCUGGUGACUGGCCUUUUCUUCCAUGCUCUUGGCUGUUUAAAGUUAUCUGCCCAUCUGAUUCUCCUGAGAUUUUGGUAUUUAUGUCUAAAAGGAUUUGUGUAUAUAUGUAAAAAGGAAACCACAUACUUUGACAAUUAGAAAAGUGAGACACGUGAGAAUACAAAAAUGUCUGUAGUGUUGAUUUAAGACCAAGCCUCUUUGAUUAAGACUGAAGGACUAUGGGCCUGAGGCUUGCCCAGCAUGCAUGAGGUCCUGGGUGUGAUCCCCACAUCAUGACAAAACACAGAGUAAAACCAAAACAGAACAGGCUUUUCCUGAGCACUGGGAUGCCUCUGGCAGUCAGGCUGGAGAAUUCACUGAUAUAAUGUCCUCAGGUAACUAGUGAAGUAGGGUCUGCCUUGGGUUUGACUCCGAAUGUCCUUGUCCCUAGAACUAAAAAUAGAUUUGCAGUGGGGCUUCAUACUGACUUGAAAUGCGAUUUCUCCACCAGGUUUGAGAAUAGACCCUGACUUAUCAGGACAUAGUCAACUUAGCCCCAUCUCAUGCACUUGGCCACCGGUCUGAUAAGAUCUCAGCCUAAUGAAUGUUCUGGAUUCUGCGUGACUAAUGGGUUAGUUAUCCCUCCUCUUGUGGAAGGGCACAAAUAAGGUCAUGGAAUGAAAAGCAGAAUGUCUCCUGCUCGGGGCGGGACUUCUCACCUCUGUGGUGAGGAAAGUAAAAGUUCCUUCCUGGAAACAGGAGGAAAUGCAAGCUGCCAUAUUACUUCUUCUCUUCUUCCCCGUCAUUAAUGCCUUAUUUCUGUAGAAAGGAAAGUCCGAGAGUGAAGCAGGGUGGAGAGCACUUGAGUUAGGUUGAAGGCAGACAUACUUAGCAGGAAAAUUGCUACAGCCCAGCUAGAGAGUGGAUGAGGCUGUUGCUUUCCUAAAAUGGAUUAUGCAUGAAGGUAGACAGAAAGCAGUAAUGAUAAUGAGCAGCUUCCGUUACCCUGGCAGAUGUGGGAAGUUUGGCCCACUAAAGUAAGGCACGGUGGCUCAUGCCUGUAAUCCCAGCACUAAGGCUGAGGGAAGAAGGUCACAAAUUUGAGCCCCGCCUGAGAAAUUUGGUGAGACCCUGCCUCAAAAUAAAAAGGCCUGGGGAUAACCAGACAUGGUGGCACAUGCCUAUAAUCCCAGCUCUGUGGUAGACUGAGGCAGAAGGAUUGAAAGUUUGAGCCCAGCCUGGGCACCUUCAUGAGACCCUGUCUCAAAAGAAGAAAAAGGCUACACUGCAGCUUAGUGUGAAGGCCCUUGGUUCAAUCUCUGGUACCACCACCAAAAAAAGAAAAAAAAAAGUGUCGAGGGGCUGGGAUGUAGCUCAGCAGCAGAGUGCCCCUAAGAUCCAUCCCCAGCUCAAAAAGAAGAAGGGAUGUUGGUACUGUGGAAACUCAUUUUGGACUUCGUUCAGGCUGAUUACCUGCAGGACUGGUUGAGGAGGUGGGGAGUGACGGGUUUGGGGGCAGAGCGACCACCUCCUUGGAUCAAAGUGGUGAGCAGAGGCCUGAGUCCGACCAGUGGUCUUCAGAGGUGAACGUCCAUUCAGACCAAGUUGUACAUGGAACCCUACUACGUGACCAGCCCAAAAUACCCCUGCUCUGGGAGAGGCGAAGGCGCUGGAGUUGGAGCCACAACACGCACACAUACAAGUGCACACAUGUGCACACCUUCCUUGUUCUGCACUCUCAGUGACUCUGAGAGGUGCUAGAUGCUCCACGGAGCACAGCCCGCCUCAGGAAGGCAGAUUUCUAAAGGUUCUGUGGACAAGAGGUGUCUUCAUAAUUUAGUACAUCGUGUGUGGUAGCUGACAUACUUCGUGCACUCCUGUGAAGUAAAGAAACGUUCUCUGAACUUUGGUGCCUCCAAUUUUUUGUCGCGUUUGUGUGGCCCAUCAUUCUUACCUGUCAUCAUUUUUCUUCCCACUCCUGUCUCUUAAAUCUCCAGUUAACCCUUGAUUUAAUGGAAACUUGGUGGCAGCCUCACCUGCAGGAGGUGGUGACUUGGGCGAAGAAUUCAUGAGAUAAAAUCUCUGACACUGUUGCCAGUGCACUGUGAGCGGGCUGCAUGGACGAGGAGGUCCUCAUUUAUGGUGAGCUCUACUGCUGAGAGAUGGGGCCAGUGGCUCUAAGGGAAAUGGAGUGGCAAGAAUUCAGGCAGGAAUUCAGGUUAGAGAGUUAGGACAAUGUUCCAGGGGAAGAGGACAUGACUGUAUUUGAAUAAAUGCAGAUUGUUGUACAUGAAAAACAGGCAUUCCCUGAAAAUAAGCCCUAUUGAGUCUUUUGGAGCAAAAGUUAAUAUA
rnacentral:lncRNA from 1 species